UACAAUAAGAGACUGGUUUGUUCUUUUCCAUGUUGGUUCAUCUUCAACAUUAACUCCAUUCCAUUGAGCAGUGACUUCAGCAACAGAACUCUUUCGUUAGUGUAUAGUGCUACAAGAAAUUUAUGUUGAAAGUUUUCUUUUUUAAUUAAUUAACGAAAAUUUGUCGAUUUUAAUUGCCAAAUUCUUGUCCAACAUGUACAAAUACACGGCCGGAAUAAUAAUUUUGUUAAUUGCUAUAAAUCAAGUGCAGUGUGGAAUAUUUGGAAGAGAGUACCUUGAACAAAUACACAAGGGGGAUAAUAAAUAUGCAUCCUAUAAUGGUGUCGGCGCACAGAAUGGUCGAUCGACGAGUGAACAUUUGCAGCAAAACAAUAAUUCGAAAGCGACGUACACAAGAAGUGGUAUGUCAGCCUGGACUAUAAUAGCGUUAAUUCUACUGGUUAUCCUGUUGGGCAUGGGAGCCUAUUACGGCAUGUUAUGUUACCCGAUUAUAUGCAAACAUGAACGAAUGUAUGAUAUCAUGGAUGCUGGUUCGACCAGUUCGGGAACGCCGACUCGGUCGACUGAAUUUGAGAAAAUGGGAAAUUAUAGUUCACGAUCGACGACACCCAGUAAAAGUAAUGAUUGACUAGUGGUUGAGUGUUAUUGAUCGUGUAUUGAUAUUGAAAGUAGGACGGAAUGCACACGAUGACUUUUCCUUUGAUUUAUACAAAUUUAAAUCAAAAUAAAAUUUUAAUUCAAUCGAUUUUAUUAGUUGACGACGAUACAAUGUUGUGUUCAAUAUAUUAUAUUCGAUGGUCAAAUUGAUAAGAAUUUAGA